GUGAGGAAUAUUGGACAAUGGGCGCAAGCCUGAUCCAGCCAUGCCGCGUGCAGGAAGACGCAUCUAUGGUGUGUAAACUGCUUUUGUACGGGAAGAAACACUCCCUCGUGAGGGAGCUUGACGGUACCGUAAGAAUAAGGAUCGGCUAACUCCGUGCCAGCAGCCGCGGUAAUACGGAGGAUCCAAGCGUUAUCCGGAAUCAUUGGGUUUAAAGGGUCCGUAGGCGGUUUAAUAAGUCAGUGGUGAAAGCCCAUCGCUCAACGAUGGAACGGCCAUUGAUACUGUUAGACUUGAAUUACCAGGAAGUAACUAGAAUAUGUAGUGUAGCGGUGAAAUGCUUAGAUAUUACAUGGAAUACCAAUUGCGAAGGCAGGUUACUACUUGUGGAUUGACGCUGAUGGACGAAAGCGUGGGGAGCGAACAGGAUUAGAAACCCCGGUAGUCC
rnacentral:rRNA from 1 species